UACGGAGGGUGCAAGCGUUAUCCGGAUUCACUGGGUUUAAAGGGUGCGUAGGUGGAAUAGUAAGUCAGUGGUGAAAUCUCCGGGCUUAACCCGGAAACUGCCAUUGAUACUAUUAGUCUUGAAUACCGUGGAGGUCAGCGGAAUAUGUCAUGUAGCGGUGAAAUGCUUAGAUAUGACAUAGAACACCAGUUGCGAAGGCAGCUGGCUACACGAGCAUUGACACUCAGGCACGAAAGCGUGGGGAUCAAACAGG
rnacentral:rRNA from 1 species